CUACACUCAUCCAGUCUUCCUCCACCAGUUGCAGUUGCUAUUUACAAUGAAGCGAGCUUCUCUUUCAAUACUCUUUCUUGCCUUUCUCUUCCUGUCCUCUGUGGCUUUUGCGCGUGAAUUGGUUGAAGAUCCGAACGAAGGCAAAGUCGGCUUCCCCUUCCCCAGAACCGUCCCCAAAAUCCCAUUCAAACCCGGCCCGAUCGUUAAACCUGUUCCCCGCAUAUACUCGUGCUAUAAUUGCCACCAAAGGGGUAUGAGCUGCUGCGGGACUCAUUGCUGCUCUGCGGAGGAGUAUGCUGAGUUCGUAAAAGCUCACAGCGUUCCGCGGAACUGAAAACUGCCGGCUGAUCCCUGUUUUCUCUUAUGAUUAUGAUGAUGAUGAUGAUAGUGAUAGUGGUUACGGUCCUUCUCAAUAAGAAAACGAGCAUGCUUGUUGCCUACUAGCAGUGCAUGCACGCAAGCUGUUCAUUUCCUAGCUCUUGUUGUCUGGAAAAACAUGUAGUAUCUACUUCUGCCUGUUGUAAUGCAAUUAAAUUUGCUGUGCAAA